GUAUUAAUUGCGUGUGAUCGCAAAAGAAAAACAUUCUACACAGUAUCGAGUGUUGUGUAAAGACGCGGGCCCUCCGGCAAAGGGGGACCCACGCGGUGAUGCACAAAGGGUGAGAUGGAUUGUGAGAGGGCUCGGGCGUGCACGACCCGGAAAGGUCAGCGACAGCCCUCGCGCCUCGGUUGUACGAUAAUGAUCCUUCCGCAGGUUCACCUACGGAAA
rnacentral:misc_RNA from 1 species